rnacentral:rRNA from 1 species
UACAGAGGUCCCGAGCGUUGUUCGGAUUCAUUGGGCGUAAAGGGUGCGUAGGCGGCGGGGUAAGUUUGAUGUGAAAUCCCGGGGCUCAACCCUGGAAUUGCAUUGAAUACUACCUUGCUAGAGUACCGGAGGGGAAACUGGAAUUUACGGUGUAGCAGUGAAAUGCGUAGAGAUCGUAAGGAAGACCAGUGGCGAAGGCGGCUCACUGGGCUGACCUUGACGCUGAGGCGCGAAGGCGUGGGGAGCGAACGGG